rnacentral:rRNA from 1 species
GUUCCGUAGGUGUCCCCCCCGAGGUUCGCCUACGGAAGCCCCCGGCAACGACUCAAAACAAGUGCUUCGGAGUCUGCCCACGGGCGGGCGACGCCUUCAUUCUGCCCUGGAAGUGCCCUUCACCGGGCCCACCAGCAGCUUGUGCAAGCUCACAGAUCAGACGAACGCGGCCACUGCGGUGGUUUUGAUAUGACCGGCCGUGGCUGUCACCAGCCCACGACGUUUGCGGAACCUGCGGAAGGAUCAUUAAAGAGAGGGGCUUCGCGCUCCAGGGGACUUCGGUCCCCGCCUCUACACCCUGUGAUUACCUUACCUUUUGUUGCUUUGGCGGGGAGUCCCCCGCCAGCAGCCCACCGAAACUCGUUUUAUCCAUGCCUGUCUGAGUCGAAUUCAUAAUGAAUCAAAACUUUCAACAACGGAUCUCUUGGUUCUGGCAUCGAUGAAGAACGCAGCGAAAUGCGAUAAGUAAUGUGAAUUGCAGAAUUCAGUGAAUCAUCGAAUCUUUGAACGCACAUUGCGCCCCUCGGUAUUCCGGGGGGCAUGCCUGUUCGAGCGUCAUUGCACCAUUCAAGCGUAGCUUGGUAUUGGGUCCUUCGCCGGGGGGUGACCCCCGGCGUGCCCGAAAAGCAUUGGCGGUCCGGUGUGACUUUAAGCGCAGUAAAUUUUCUCCCGCUUUGAAAGCCUCACAGCGUGGCCGGCCAGACAACCCCCAUAUUUCUCACGAUUGACCUCGGAUCAGUAGGGAUACCCGCUGACUUAGCAUAUUUCUAGGCCCCCCUCCCGCAAACCUUGAAUAAUGGAUGCUGUGCUCUAUGACUCUCCGACUC